rnacentral:pre_miRNA from 1 species
AAAGUACUCCCUCCGUUCGGAAUUACUUGUCACAAAAAUGAAUGUAUGUACAACUAAAAUACAUCCAGAUACAUUCAUUUUUUGGACGAGUAAUUCCGAACGGAGGGAGUAUGUA